GGUCGCAUUCACCCUUACUUGUUUCACCUGCUGAAGCUGCUGGAGUCAUCGCUCUUUUAAAGGAAAAAAGUGUUGAUGAGUUACGGAAGCUUUUGUCUGAUAAUGACGCAUACAAUCAGUUCUUACAAUCAGUUGACCAAGUUAAAAUUCAAAACAUUAUAAGAUAUGAACUUCGCAAGGAGACUUUGCAGCUUGCCAG